AAGCCAAAGCGAAUCGCGUCUGCAGCCUGUGCUGUCCUCAGGCAAACAGGAGACCUGGGUUCGGUUCUGUCGCUUGUUUCUUCAUCCUCACCCAGGUCACCAAACUCCACCAAGGCUCUGCCUGUUUUCGGGGCUCAGCCACACUACCCAGGUUCCUCAAGUUACAAAAGCACCAUAAAUGGAUGGAGAGACAGCUGAGUGGGAUAAGACAGGGAUGGCAUAGUCUCCAUUGAAGACAGCAGGCAAAGGUCCUGGAAUGAAAGUCAUGAGACUUGAGUCCCAG
rnacentral:lncRNA from 1 species